AUCAAAUCUCAUUUCAUUAAAAUCAUCCUAGAGUACAAAACCACAACUAUAUGGUCCAUGAAAAACAUAAAUUAUCCCCUGGUUGCUCAUGGAAUUUUCUAGUAGAAUCUAACAAUACUCAAAUACAGUAACACUCGCCUGGUUGCUCUCCACGCCACCCAAUUCCAUCAAAAAACCCACAUUUAGGGUUCGUUAAAGGCGCGCAUGUCCAAAACAUACAAUCCAGGUCUUCAAAACAUACACCAACUGUGAUAAAAGUUGAAUAAAUGAUGUUAGUGAAAUGAGAUAAAAUAUUAUGUAGAAAGUAUUUUAGAAAACUUGAGUCGGAUAAAAAAUGGCAUACAUAAUUGACUGCUCGUUGCAACAACAAAUGGAAAAAUAAAGAUAAUCAUAACAAAAACAAGCAUGACAAUUUUAG
rnacentral:lncRNA from 1 species